AGCAGCCGCGGUAAUUCCAGCUCCAAUAGCGUAUAUUAAAGUUGUUGCAGUUAAAAGCUCGUAGUUGAAUUUCGGGAUCAAUAUGCUGGUCGUGCCAUUGGUACGUACUAGUAUUAUUGGUUUCUCCUUUCUGAUGAAUCAUGAUGUCAUUAAUUUGAUGUCAUGAGGAAUCAGGACUGUUACUUUGAAAAAUUAGAGUGUUUAAAGCAGGCUCGCGCUUGAAUACAUUAGCAUGGAAUAAUGAAAUAGGAUGUUUGAUUCUAUUUUGUUGGUUUCUAGGAUUGACGUAAUGAUUAAUAGGGAUAGUUGGGGGCAUUAGUAUUCAAUUGUCAGAGGUGAAAUUCUUGGAUUUAUUGAAGACUAACUACUGCGAAAGCAUUUGCCAAGGAUGUUUUCAUUAAUCAAGAACGAAAGUUAGGGGAUCGAAGACGAUCAGAUACCGUCGUAGUCUUAACCAUAAACUAUGCCGACUAGGGAUCGGAUGAUGUUAAUUUUUUAAUGACUCAUUCGGCGCCUUACGGGAAACCAAAGUGUUU
rnacentral:rRNA from 1 species